rnacentral:rRNA from 2 species
GAAUUUUAUAUAAAUUUAUUUAAUUAAUUAUAAAAGAAUGAGAAUAAAUUUAUAUUUUAUUGGGAGGAUAAAUAAAUUAAAAAAACUUUAUUUUUGAUUAAAUCAUUAAUAUAUGGGGAGAAGAAAUGAAUGGUUAGUAAAUUUAAAGAAAAUUAAUUACCUUAGGGAUAACAGCGUUAUACUUUUAGAGAGAUCAUAUUGAUAAAGGUGUUUGC